rnacentral:SRP_RNA from 1 species
CCGUGCUAGAUGGGGAGGUAGCGGUGCCCUGUUACCCGCAAUCCGCUAUAGCGGGGUCGAAUUCCUGCCUGCGGGUUUUGCCUGUGGGGACUGCCCGGGGCAAGUGGCAAAGAAGAUCGGGUCCUGCGCAACAGGAACUUAUGAACCCCGUCAGGUCCGGGAGGAAGCAGCGGUAAGUAAGCCAGCCUGUGUGCCGCGGGGGUGCCUGGUCGGAGUUGGCUACCCCGGUUACGCCUGGAGGUAAGGUUCAAGGGCAGGUGCACGG